rnacentral:lncRNA from 1 species
AGACCAGGCCCGUGGGGAGUGAAUGUUCGGGACGGUGCUCGAGAGCGCUACUGUUUGGAGUUACAGAUUCUGGCUUGUGCGAUGGCUUGCCGGAACCAAAGCGAACAAAAUAUUCGAACUUUCUUCCGAACACGGUGGUGGACUCUGUUCUGCCAUAAAGUCCUGAUCCUUCCCUGAUCGACUCCGCCCUCACCAGCCACACCACCGUUUCCAGGCCGGCCACACCUGUAAGCGACCCCCCUCAACCCUGGCAAAAAUAGAGAUGGUGGCCAUACGCGGCGGAGGACACCCCUGGA